rnacentral:lncRNA from 1 species
GCAGCACAACAAAACAAAAACAAGACACAACUUUUACUAGGUGAAGGCAUUUUAAAAAGACAACUGAAAAAAGGGCACAAGUGUCAGUGGAAAAUUAAAAUUACAGCAACAACAACUAUAAUAAGAAUGUGAGAAAAAUCACGAAUGACAACAACAACUACUACAUAUUUUAUGGAUAUAGAAAAUAUUGUUAAAGCCACAACAACAACAACAAAAGCCAUCAACGAAAUGUGCGUUCUUUUCGGCUUUCGUUAGCUGGAGAAUUAUUAUUGUUGUUUUUGUUUUACUUGCUCUUCUUCCUGUUUUACACUUCCUCCUCUUCUUAAUGCUCAUCUUCCACAACAAUUCGACAAACGAGAGUGAACAAAAUUUGUGAUUUUUUUUGUUUUUGUUUUUUGGGAAAAAAUAAGGAAAACCAUUCAUUUUUCAUUUCAUAUGAUUUUGAUUUUCUGUUAUGACGAAAAAAAAAACAACUAACAGAAACAACAAAAAAACAGAACACAACAAUUUUUCCUCAUUCAAGUUGGAGCUUUAUAACGUAACGGUUGGCUUGUGCUGGUUUUAACGGUAAAACUAAGUAAACAGGAAACUAAAGUGAAAUUCUAUAAGAAACAAAAAAAAAUGUUCAACGAGGAGUUUUAAAUUUUCAUGUGAAUCUAUUGUGCGGUGUUAGUCACAUCUCUGAUUGAAAAUUCAUUUUAUCGACAUUUUACAAAUUAUAAAUAAAAAUAAAAAAAGUAAAAAAAUAAAUAAAUUUCAUUCAUCUACAACUUUAACUGAGAAUGUCGAUGUAAAAGCAAACUGGUGCAUCUAGAUAUAAAAAAGAAAUACAACCAAAACGAAGGAGAAUAUUAUAACGUACAAAGUUCUAAUAAACUCAUCUUAUGCAUGGCUUGGUGUGUUACAGGUGCAAAACUUGCUUGAUACAAUUAUUUUGAUAAUUAAAACUCAUUUUCAGUUUUUU